GUUUCAGGGAAAGUGGAAGAUGUUGUGGAGACGUUGCUUCAGCUUCACAGAGCAUCCUGCCUUGACAAACUAGGGGACCAAACUGCUAUGAUAACAGCUAUUUUGCAGUCACGCUUGGCGAGAACAUCAUUUGACAAGAACAGGUAAGUGUUUAAUGAUUUUGCUUACUGGUUAUAAAAGCAAUGGACAUCUUCAUCUGUUUGCCUCGCUCAGCAUGGCCACACUGAUGCUGUCAUCCUCCUCACCCCUCACCUGCUUAUCCGAGGGAAUGGCCCCACCUCAGUGCAGGGGCCGGGUCAGGGGCUUCCUCCACUCUCUCCAUCCUGGCACCUGUCAGUCAGAAAGGCCAGUAGGUGAGGCUCUCUAACAUCCUUCCUGUCUGUCAGCUUGCCUUUUCCCACUGUUAUUGCCUCAGUCCAGGCUACCAUCACCUCCAACUCCAAACACUGUGACAGCUUCUAGCCUGUCUGCCUGACACCAGUCUUCCCUUCUCCAAUCCCCUUUUCCCCACGGUAACUAUUGUACUUUUAAAAUAUGUUC